UACGAAGGGGGCUAGCGUUGCUCGGAAUCACUGGGCGUAAAGCGCACGUAGGCGGAUUGCUAAGUCGGGGGUGAAAUCCUGGAGCUCAACUCCAGAACUGCCUUCGAUACUGGCGAUCUUGAGUCCGGGAGAGGUGAGUGGAACUCCGAGUGUAGAGGUGAAAUUCGUAGAUAUUCGGAAGAACACCAGUGGCGAAGGCGGCUCACUGGCCCGGUACUGACGCUGAGGUGCGAAAGCGUGGGGAGCAAACAGG
rnacentral:rRNA from 1 species